rnacentral:lncRNA from 1 species
GGAUGAGGAAAUGUAAGAAUAUCCUGUACAAUUCAAAAUAUUUGUUCUCUCAAGAUUUGGGGCUUCUGAUAGGUCUGGCAUCCUAAGGAGAUAUUGGAAAUGGCGGAGAUCAACAGAUUUUAACACGAAAGCUUUCUAUAACAAAAAAUAAACAAAGACCACUAAACUAGUAUCAAUGAAUUACAUAAUUAAUUAUGUGUUGUAUUAAGAAAGAAAAAUUUAAUGUUCUAGUAUUAGUACACCUACCUUUUUUCCUUCCCAAAUUUGCUCAACUUUACUGUAAGGCAAACUGAGCUCAAUAAGAUUCUCUGGUUCAAAAUCAUAAGGCAGUGUUUUCAAAGGAUAUUCGUGUCAAUGGAGAUAUCUCAAUUCUUCAGGAAGAUAUUCUAGACCUUGAUCAAGAUGCACUUUAGUCAACAUCAUUAUGCUUGGGCAUAUAGAAUUUAAGCAAUCUAAGAUUGGACAUAUUUGCAAAGGUUUGAGGACUUAGAUGUAUAUUGUUUAUUUUUGACAAAUCAAGGAGUAUGCCUUCAAUUUUAUUGGUACCCUUCCAAACAAAAGUAAAGAAUGAUAAGCAUAUAAAAUCUACAAAAACUUUUGAAAAAUUGAUUAAAAGCUUCCUAAUUGAAGAUAAAAUGUGAAUUUGUUAAUUUUUUUUAAUUUAUUCAACAUUUGAACUCACUAGCGAUCAGCCUCUUCCUUUCUCCUUGAUUUAUAGGCUUUUUCAUUUCUCUUUUAUCUAAAAGUUCAGAAGAUAAACGUUUAAAAAAUUCAUAAACCGAAGUACAUGAGAUGCUCUAUUUAAUCUACUUUUUCGGUGAUUGCAAAUGAUGCUCUCAUUUAAAAGUGUCUGUAGGAGCCAAAAAUGUUUAAUUGCCUAAAUAACUAGCCUAGGCUUUUUAGUUUGAAAGAUAUGUUUUUCUAUUACUAAGAAUCUGAGAUGCUCCCGAGUUUUAAAAGAAAUGAUAUCAUACUGAAUCACUAUAAAAAUUAAAUGAGAAAAUGUUUUGGUUGUUUCGUCCAAAAAAGUAACAUUGACUGAGGAUGUCUUUGGUAAUAACAAAUUUACUGAAAACAUGUGUAUGAGAGGAAUUUGAUUGUGCAUCUAUUGUUAACAUUUAAAACUCAAAUAGAUAGAUUCUCACCUUAUUUUUCUUUAAUACAUGAUAGACGUCCUUGUGAUCCCACAACCUAUUACAUUUGCUGAUAGAGUUUUGGCGAACAAUGGUCUGACCCAUUUCUUGCAAUAAAUCAUGCAUUUGCAGCUCAUUAUAGAAUAUUGUAAUGAGUGACUUAUCAACAAGAGCUCUCGAAUCAAACAGAGGUAUAAACUAUAGCAUAUACACACAAAUCUCAACUGCAUUAGAAGGUAGAGUUUUCUUUUUCACAUGAAUUGGAGUUAAAAGGUUUGAAUUUCUGAUUGCAUUGUCAUAAAUCUUGAAUAUCUCAAUUUGUCCAGACUUUUGGUUUUCUAUUUCUACUGACUAGUAUACUAGAUUCAUUGGAUGCAUUGAAUCAAGAACUAACAAGACAACUGGAAAUCAGAAUCAAAGACAUACAGCAAAAACAAAACAGAGGAUUUACUUGGUUCAAUACGAACUGACAUUCGCAGGGGCAGCAUAUCAGAGACGGCCUUAUUUCAACCUGGAAAGCAUCAUGAUCUUCACUCAAGAUUACUGUGUGAAGAUCAUGAUGCUCCGUCAAGGAAUUUGAAUCUAGAAAGAACUCUCAAAAUGGCCAAGAAAAUCUGGAUGAGAAUUACUGUGUUGCCCCCUCUAACCACCAGCUUAAUUAUACAAAGUUAAAAGAGGAUUUUGCUGAGCUGCCAAAAUGACAUGUUCACACACCAAGGAACAGAAGACAAAGCCUUCAAUAGAUUGCUUGACGCAAAAAAUCUGUCUCGAUUUUCUGCUCUUCAUACUUAUGUGAAGCUAUUGAAGCUCAUCCGUGCCGCUAACGGCUCUCAUAGUGUAUAAAUACACACCCAACAUGCUGACAAGCCACCAAAAACUACCAGAUUCUAGGCCUUAGGAGCGAGCAAUAACAGAAUGCCUCGGUGGUUAUACAUUUGAAGCUGGGCACUGACCAAGAAAAUGUAUUCAAAUUAGUGUAUUUUCUAAAUGUUUGUAGUUUGACACUAUUAGUUAAUUAAGGACAGUAAAUAAAAAGAUAAUGCACAAACAUCAAAACCUAAAAUUAGUUAUAAUGCCGGGACCUUGAUGUAUAAAUUGCAAAAGAACAUCAUUAAUAUACUUGCGCUGAAAAUUGCAUUAACCAAACAGAACAUUACACCUCAAUGCUUAUAUAUGACGUAAAAGGGUGUCUAGCCCGAAGGAUUAUUUUUUGCCUACUCUUACUAAGGAAAACAACAAUGGAGGAUUAAAACAUGAGAUUCAAAAGAAAAAUCCGAAUUAAUUAAAACCACAACUUAUUACAUUCAGUUUUAGCCAAAAAAAAAAAUUCUUUAAUGCAAAUAAAUAAAUCCAAAAUAAGAAAGCAAAUUAAUAAUGAAAUAUACAUUAAAUGAAUAGGGAGGUUCAUUAAAGCAAGGGCUUGAAAUGAUGAAAAUCUUAAAUUUUCAAACAAUGUAAUUCACUAAAUAACAUCAAAACUUCAUUUCUGUAAUCAAAAUUUGUGUGAAUGAAUGGAAGAAAUAUGAAUUUGUACAGCACAAUUUUUGAAAAGUGUAAGAUUUUCUCUGUUUUUUUUCCCUUAAGAGAGAGAGGUUAUUAUGAAUAAUAAUAAACAGGAUAAAGAAAUAGAAAUCAAUUGGAGCAUUGGACUUACUGAAAAAAAAGGAAUAUAAAUAAACAAGUGACUCUGUUGAUUUGGUCUCUGCAAAUUCUCUAGGGACUAGGUUCCGCUUCCUCUUGAUGAGAACUCGCUUCAAAUUCCUCUUCAUCAGAAGUUCCACUUGUGCUUGUCUUAUCAUCCAAUUUCCAAAUUUGGGUAGCAAAGUUGAGAGUAAGGUUGUUGGGUUUGGUCUUGUCGGGAUUUGCAUAUACUGGACACAACCCACAACAUAAUACCACAUUGGACUUUGAGAGGAACUCAAAUGAGACGGUUGUAUGGUGGUUAUCAUCAGGAAACCUAACAUUCCCGCAUGGACUAAAUCCAAGCAUGACAUGAUCUGUUUUAGUUAUCUGAAAACUAUCCCAAACACGAGCGACGAACAUGUUUUCUUUCAGAGAGAGUGCUAAUUUCAAAGGUGUAUUGAUAGUGGACAUCAAACAAGUAACGUGAACUUUUAGAUCCAAGAACAGCACAAAGAGCAAAUCCCAUCAAGUUUUGACGAAAAUGCUGAGCCAGUUGAAGAGUUAUUUCGGAUCCUGAACUUUGAUUGCUGGACCACUCCGCAAUUUUGCUCCAGGGUAAGAGUAUACAGCAUUCCUGUAAAAUCAAAUUCAUGAUUUCAGAUGUGAUGAAGAGGGAUAGACUGAGAAAAGAGAGAGAAUUGCAUACUAUUUCCAAUUCAGUAAAAUCGUCUCAAUGAUGCAAUUGCCAUAUGCUUAAUCCUUAGUUGUGAAUCUGCCAAAUUCUUGUUGUUUGCUUCUUCAUCUAGUUUCAAGCAAUUAGUAAACCGGAACUCAAUGGACGAUCUCUCUCGCGUCCAUAAUUUAUCUUCAUUUUCAUGGGAGAAUUUGGAUAGCUUUUUGAGUAAGGAAGCAUCUAGAUCUUCCACAGAUGACGCAAUAUCUGGCAAAGAUUUUAGCCGCUUGCAAUUACUUGCAUCUAAUCUUCUUCAGAUGUAAUGGGAGCUCUGGUAUUGACUGAAGCAUAUUGCAAUUCCUCAAGUAAGGAUAUCUCAACCGUGAAAAUUGCUUGAUACUUGCAGGUAAACUCUCAAGGUUAUUUUCACAUAGAUCUAAUGUUUCCAAUGAGUAUAUACAGCCAAUCUCUUGCAGAAUAGCUGUUAAAACACAUCACUUAAAUUUAGCAGUCCCAAAGGAGAUAAAAAUGAUAAUAACAAUGCAGGCAAUGACACCAAACCAUGCAUCCUUUGAACCAAAGUUUUUUAAAUUGUUUGAAUCUGCAACAGAGGAUAGUAGUUGACUAAUGGCUGAUCCAUGUGAACCAAUGUACUCAAAAGAUUUUAAAUUGCCAUUGAUAUUUGGCAAAUUAUCUAGUUCAGAACAACUCCCUAAGCCCAGCACUUCAAGCUCUUCUAGAUUUUCAAAUGAAGACGGCAGCUACUCUGUAAUUGUAGUCCUGCCUAAAUUGAUUUGAUUUAAUGUUUUAUUUUCUCCAUGCUUUCUGGGAAGCUCUCAAGGUUUAAGCACUCGUAAAGAGAAAGCCAAAUCAGAGAUUUCAAUUUACAAAAAUUCUAGUUGAAACCCUCUUCAGCCUUGAACAACUAUCCAAACUGAACACUUGAAGAUUAGUUAGGCACUCUAUUGAUGAGGAAACUUCUUCUAUUGCAGUUUAGUGUAAGUCCAGAUCUGUUAUAUUCCCAGAAAUCUGUGGAAACUCUGUGAAAUUAAUGCAAGAUGAGAAAUCCAUAGCUGUAGGAGAAACAAAAUGUAGGUUGCUUGGGAAAGACCUAAGACUUUUGCAGCCCCUGAAACACAACCUACUAAGAUGGUUGAAAUUCUGGAUGGAUGAGGAAAUGUAAGAAUAUCCUGUACAAUUCAAAAUAUUUGUUCUCUCAAGAUUUGGGGCUUCUGAUAGGUCUGGCAUCCUAAGGAGAUAUUGGAAAUGGCGGAGAUCAACAGAUUUUAACACGAAAGCUUUCUAUAACAAAAAAUAAACAAAGACCACUAAACUAGUAUCAAUGAAUUACAUAAUUAAUUAUGUGUUGUAUUAAGAAAGAAAAAUUUAAUGUUCUAGUAUUAGUACACCUA